GUUGGUGUGUCUCAGUGGUUAAGUACAUGCUUUGUAUGUAUGAUGUCCUGGGUUAAAUCCCAAGCUUCUCCC